rnacentral:lncRNA from 1 species
CCCCCCUCUGCAUUUGUAUCUUUCGUAUUUGGGGUAGGAAGGGAACGACACCCACCAGAAGGCCACUGGGCAUCCCUCCUCCGCCAAGGAUUCUUGGCAGGACCCCGGCGGAGGGGGCGCCGAGCACCCGAUGUCUGGAGACGGAUGAGCGGGCGCCAGGCAGAGGUUCCGGCCCCCCGAAGGUGUUGUGUGUUGCUCGUGCACGUAAGCGGCACAAAGGCCGCGCGCCCAGGCCGCCCCCCCACUCCUUGCGCCUGGUCCCCGCUCGCCGGAUGUUGACGACGUCGCCUAGCAACAGGAGAUGGCGGAGCCCGGUGGCCAGGAGGGCGGGUCUCACCUGGAAGGAGACGUGGCUUCUGAAGGAGUGGAGGACCAGAAGGAUGAAGGCGACGGGGUACCACCAAUAGAGAAGAGCAGUGACCAGAAAAAUGAGGAAGCUGUUGGUGCUACAGAGCAUUCUGAGGGGGAAAUCGCAAAUGAUGGAGAAAUGGAAAUGGAAGGGGAAGUCGAAACCAAUGAGGAAGUCGAAACUGAAGAGGAAGUGGAAACGGAAGAGGAUUUCGAAUUUGAAGAGGAUUUCGAGUCGGAUGAGGAAGGCAAAUUCCCUCACGGAAAGGCCAGUGCUACAGAUGUGACUUCUCCAGGAGUCAGUCCUGUGGAAGCGCAGCAAGAGGGAGCAAGGCGGGAAGCUGGACUUGAAGACAGAGAGGCGCCCCAGCCAUCAGAAUCCAGAGGAGCGAGCGUCAUCUCCACAGAGCCAUCCGAGCAAGUCUUAGGUUCACCUGAGCAAACGGGCCAGGGUGCUUCUCGACGGAGGGUUAGCAAACGGGUGAGUGGCCUGAGGUCUGUGCUACGCAAGUGUUUUACUGCCAUGGGGUUUGUCAGCCUACGUGAGGAACUCAGGGUCCACUCUAAACACAGAUCACAAUCCUUACUAGAAUUUCUUAGCAGACUUAGGUCUCUGGAUCCAUUGCCAAAUGUCAAGAGUUUCAGACCCUCCAGAGGUUGGGAGCAUUCCAUGUCAGGGCAUCCAGGUUUCCCCGCUCUGGAGCAGUGCUGUCCAAUAAAACAUCCCAUGAGGGUGGAAAUGCUCUUCAUCUGUCCAAUACGGUAG